AACAUUAUUAGGUGCU
rnacentral:sRNA from 1 species